rnacentral:sRNA from 1 species
UUCAGCAAAACAAGCUAUCGAUCAGGGAAGAUCUCCAGUUAUAAUAGAUAACACUAAUAUACAAGCUUGGGAAAUGAAGCCAUAUGUGGAAGUGGUAAAUAUGAAACAUGAGAAAGUUUUUAUUUUUUAUUCUUGUCAAUUUUUUCACAUUCUAAAAUUUUGGCUAGUUGGAUCUUGAUUAUUAAAACAUUUGUCCUUUGUUUUCUAAAGAGGUUUGUUGGUUUGCUUAGUUUUUAAAAAAAUUAUGAAUGAUGUUUUUUAAGGAACAUGUUCAUCUUGUUAAUUUUUGUUUGUUUUUUUGAGACGGAGUCUCGCUCUGUCACCCAGGCUGGAGUGCAGUGGCACCAUCUUGGCUCACUGUAAGCUCUGCCUCCCCAGUUGAAGCGAUUCUCCUGCCUCAGCCACCUGAGUAGCUGAGAUUAUAGGUGCCUGCCCCCAUGCCCAGCUAAUUUUUGUAUUUUUAGUAGAGACAGAGUUUCACCAUGUUGGCCAGGCUGGUCUCGAACUCCUGAGCUCAGCCAAUCUGCAGUCCUCAGCCUCCCAAAGUGCUGGGAUUACAGGCAUGAGCCACCACGCCCAGCCUCAUAUUGUUUUGACUUUCCCUAAGGAUAGUAAUCUUAAGGAAUUACUAUUCCUUGAGAAUAGUAAUCAGGAUUUAUCCAGUUAAAUAGUCUUAACUGUUAUAAACCAUAUUAUUUUAUAAAGCGUCAUUUUUCUUGGUCGAGCAAGUGUAUAGUAUUGUCGAAAUGAAAUUUAUCUGUCUGCCUUCUUUUUACUUUAAGAAGUACUUCUCUGGGUUUUUGUUUUCUUCCUUUCCUUUGUGUAGGCCAUAGGAAAAGGAUACAGAGUAGAGUUUCAUGAACCUGAAACUUGGUGGAAAUUUGAUCCUGAAGAAUUAGAAAAGAGGAAUAAACAUGGUGUGUCUCGAAAGAAGAUUGCUCAGAUGUUGGAUCGUUAUGAAUAUCAAAUGUCCAUUUCUAUUGUAAUGAAUUCAGUGGAACCAUCACACAAAAGCACACAAAGACCUCCUCCUCCGCAGGGGAGACAGAGAAAGAGUUUUGAAGAAAACUGGGCAUAGGCUCAGCAAAACCAAACAGAAGAGGAACAGAAAAAGAAACAAAAAGCAGAACAGUCAGAAUAGAAUCAUGGAGGAAAACUCAUUAGAAUUCUUAAGUGAUCUUACACCGGGAGAUCAGGACCCAUCUCAGAGUGAAGAGGAAGACAUUGAAAAGACCAGAAGAGAAUCAGAAUAUCCCUUCAUUGAUGGUCUACAAAAUGAAGUCGGAGAUUUUGUGACUGGAUAUAAAGAAAAAAGGUGGAAAAAUAAAGAUCCUAAAGACAGUUUCCAAAACGUUAUGUCUAUAGUUGAAUUAGACAACACACCAAAGAAUUACCUCUCUAAGGAAGGUGAUAACUUGUUUGUAAGUUUGUUACUGAGGCCAAAUGAAAUCUCCGUUACUUGUCCAAUACUGACUCAAAACCUUUCCUGUGUAACAACUGAUGACUGCUCUGGCAUGAAGGUAGAAAAGCAUAUUAGAAAUAGGCAUACCAUAGCAUUAGACACCCAGGACCUUUCUGCGGAAACUUCAUGCUUAUUUAUGAAGAAGAGAGAAAUAGUAGAUAAAAGUCUCCCACAUGAACCCAUUCUGUGCCAUCAACAUGGAAUCAGAAUGUCAGAUAAAGUUUUAAGAGAGGAACAAGUGUAUACAACUAAAAUCAAUCACUGGGCUUUUUUCACAACCAAUUUAUCUGAUGAAGAUUUACAGCUGGGCUCUGACAGACAGCCCUAUUUUGGUAGCUGGCCUGCAGGACCUCAUAAGUUUAUAUGUGAACAGAGACCAAAGAAAGAUAGAGCACGUAAGUUGGCUGGUCCUGACAGCAGGGGGCAAUGGAUUCAAAUGAUCUUCACUUCGGUGGCAGCAUCAGAACCAGGAAACAAUCCAGAAAUACUGACAGACAAACUACUGAUAGGAAAUGAAGAUUUUUCACCUCCACCUGAAACUAUGGAUUCAUUCAUAGAAACAAACCUCUUCAGAAGCUGCUUACCUCAACCGGAUAUACCAAAGAAUGCCUUAGAAUCAACAAAAAAUAAGAAAAGGAGGAAGAAAAGGAUUUUCAAUUUGGUACCAAAUUUUGACUUAUUAGGACAGAGUCAUAUCGGUGUAAAAGAAAGGGAGAAAUGUGACCUGUUAACAAAAAACCAUGGACUAAAAAUUACUUUGGGAGAAGAAAAAGAUAGAAUUUCAGAAAGGAACAGUGAAGAGGAGAAUAAACAACAACUUAUGACCUUUGAUCAUCAUCCAUUGUGGUUUUACCUUGAUAUUAUCAAAGCCACCCCUUUAAAUAUUGAUGGACAGCGUUAUUCUCAUUGCCUGUCAUUUAACAGACUAAGGUGCUCUGCAUCUUUAUACAAAAAUUAUAUUCCUUCUUUUGUGCUACAUAAUUUAUCUAGUAUUUGGAAGCCAUCUUUUACAAACAAGAAACUGUUUUUGACUUUCGAAUCUCAGACAAGUGUAGGUAAUAAACUAAAUGAUGCAGGGUUUAUUUCUCCAGAAAUUUUACAUAGUCAUCCUGAUACUUCGUGCUCUUUGGGAGUCACUUCUCAUUUUCACUUUUUAAAUGAAAGGUUUGAUAGAAAGCUGAAAAGAUGGGAAGAACCUAAGCAAUUACCAGCUGAGGACAGCCAAGACUUAACAAGCACUGACUAUAGUUCCCUUGAGCUACCAUUAUCACAAGGGUUUGCCUUUCAAUUAGUAAAGCUUUUUGGAUCUCCAGGCGUUCCAAUGGAAUCCUUGUUGCCUGAUGACUAUGUGGUUCCCCUUGACUGGAAGACACUAAAGAUGAUCUACUUGCAAUGGAAGAUGUCAGUGGAGAAAAGACAGAAGAAGAUUGGUUGAAAAAUGAAAAUUCCUUGAACUUUGAGUUCUGCUGUCUUCAUGGUACUGCUGAAGAUCAUGAUCACGGAGAAAAGUCAGAGUGCUCAGUGCCAACCCAAGGGAUUCUUUCCAGAGACGUACCCGUUGGAUACCAAAAUUAGUUUGGAUAAUCUGUUCAACCAUU